UGCAAGUCGAGGGGUAACAGGGAAAAGCUUGCUUUUUUGCUGACGACCGGCGAACGGGUGCGUAACGCGUAUAGAAUCUGCCUUGUACAGGAGGAUAGCCUCUUAGAAAUGAAGAUUAAUACUCCAUAAUGUUGAGAGAUGGCAUCAUCUUUUAAUUAAAGAUUUAUCGGUACAAGAUGACUAUGCGUCCUAUUAGCUAGAUGGUAAGGUAACGGCUUACCAUGGCAACGAUAGGUAGGGGGUCUGAGAGGAUUAUCCCCCACACUGGUACUGAGACACGGACCAGACUCCUACGGGAGGCAGCAGUGAGGAAUAUUGGUCAAUGGAGGCAACUCUGAAC
rnacentral:rRNA from 1 species